rnacentral:rRNA from 1 species
UACGUAGGGUGCAAGCGUUAAUCGGAAUUACUGGGCGUAAAGCGUGCGCAGGCGGCUUUGCAAGACAGAUGUGAAAUCCCCGGGCUCAACCUGGGAACUGCAUUUGUGACUGCAUGGCUAGAGUGCGGCAGAGGGGGAUGGAAUUCCGCGUGUAGCAGUGAAAUGCGUAGAUAUGCGGAGGAACACCGAUGGCGAAGGCAAUCCCCUAGGCCUGCACUGACGCUCAUGCACGAAAGCGUGGGGAGCAAACAGG